AGCAGCCGCGGUAAUUCCAGCUCCAAUAGCGUAUAUUAAAGUUGUUGUGGUUAAAAAGCUCGUAGUUGAACCUUGGGCCUGGCUGGCCGGUCCGCCUCACCGCGUGUACUGGUCCGGCCGGGCCUUUCCCUCUGUGGAACCCCAUGCCCUUCACUGGGUGUGGCGGGGAAACAGGACUUUUACUGUGAAAAAAU
rnacentral:rRNA from 1 species